rnacentral:rRNA from 1 species
ACGGAGGGUGCAAGCGUUGUCCGGAUUUACUGGGUGUAAAGGGCGCGCAGGCGGAAUGGAAAGUCAGUGGUGAAAUCCUACAGCUUAACUGUAGAACUGCCUUUGAUACUUUCAUUCUUGAGUUCGGGAGAGAGAGACGGAAUUCCAGGUGUAGUGGUGAAAUACGUAGAUAUCUGGAAGAACACCAGUUGCGAAGGCGGUCUCUUGGUCCGAUACUGACGCUGAGGCGCGAAAGCGUGGGGAGCAAACAGGAUUAGAUACCCUGGUAGUCCACGCUGUAAACGAUGAAUACUAGGUGUUGGGUUUUUAACUCAGUGCCGCAGCUAACGCAUUAAGUAUUCCACCUGGGAAGUACGAUCGCAAGCUUAAAACUCAA